GGGUGCGUAGGCGGCCUAUUAAGUCAGGGGUGAAAGACGGUAGCUUAACUAUCGCAGUGCCUUUGAUACUGAUGGGCUUAAAUGUACUUGAGGUAGGCGGAAUGUGACAAGUAGCGGUGAAAUGCAUAGAUAUGUCACAGAACACCAAUUGCGAAGGCAGCUUACUAAAGUAUGAUUGACGCUGAGGCACGAAAGCGUGGGGAUCAAACAGGAUUAGACACCCUGGUAGUCCACGCCCUAAACGAUGAACACUCGAUGUUGGCGAUAUACGGUCAGCGUCUAAGCGAAAGCGUUAAGUGUUCCACCUGGGGAGUACGCCCGCAAGGGUGAAACUCAAAGGAAUUGA
rnacentral:rRNA from 1 species